rnacentral:rRNA from 1 species
UACGAGGGGGGCGAGCGUUGUUCGGGAUUAUUGGGCGUAAAGGGUGCGUAGGCGGUUUGGUAAGUCUUGUGUGAAAUCUACAGGCUCAACUUGUAGUCUGCACGAGAAACUGCCGGGCUUGAGUGUGGGAGAGGUGAGUGGAAUUCCUGGUGUAGCGGUGAAAUGCGUAGAUAUCAGGAGGAACACCUGUGGCGAAAGCGGCUCACUGGACCAUAACUGACGCUGAUGCACGAAAGCUAGGGGAGCAAACAGG